rnacentral:piRNA from 1 species
UCCUAUCAGGAACCUUACUGAAGGAGAAGA